CGGACGGGUGAGUAAUGUCUGGGAAACUGCCUGAUGGAGGGGGGUAACUACUGGAAACGGUAGCUAAUACCGCAUAACGUCGCAAGACCAAAGAGGGGGACCUUCGGGCCUCUUGCCAUCGGAUGUGCCCAGAUGGGAUUAGCUAGUAGGUAGGGUAAAGGCUCACCUAGGCGACGAUCCCUAGCUGGUCUGAGAGGAUGACCAGCCACACUGGAACUGAGACACGGUCCAG
rnacentral:rRNA from 1 species